CCUAGGAAGUAGCUUAGCUGCCCAGUUCCAAGCCUAGGACCACAAAGUGAUUCACCCAUCAACCUAUCAUUUGGACUUCCAAAGCAGGAAGAGUUCUGAAGAGGAAGAAGUAAAAAGAGAAUGGAGCAGAAGAAAUAUCUGAAGACAUAAUGUCCAAGAAUUUUUACAGAUCCAAGAAGUUUAGAGAACCCCAUGCAGGACCAAUGCAAAGGAAAACACCUGCCACAUCAUAGUCACAUUACUGAAAACUCAAAGAGAGAAAUCAUGAAUACAGACGGGGAAAAAAUGACUUAUAUAAGAUGGCUUUAAAUACCAGCAAUAUCCUAAAGCCUUCAGAUUGUAUUUCCCUGACUCUGAGCUCUCUGGACUCAUACAUCUACCUGCCCACUCAACAUCCCCACUCACAUUUUACAAACCUUGACUCUUCUGGUGGCAGAUUGUAUUUUCUGAAGAUGAGAAUCACAGUACCUUCCAUCCCAUCUUCUGCAAUGUGAUGCUGACACUUCCCACCAAGCCUAUAUCCCCUCUCCUUGAAACCGGACUGAUCUUUGUGACUCGCUCAUAGAGAACAGUAGAAAUGAGGUGGUGAGACUUCCUAUGCUAGGGCAUAAAAUUGUCAUGCACUUCCACCUUGUUUUUGGAAGGCUCACUCUUGGAGCCCGGCCACCAUGCUGUGAGAGAGCCACCAGCCACAUGGAGAGGUGAGGUGUGCUGGCCAACAGUCCCAGCAGAGGACCCAGCCAACAGGCAGCAUCAACUGCUUCAUGGGAUUGAUGAAAUCUGAAAUAGUUCCAGCCAGCAUCUGGGUGCUCCAACUAAUACCACCUGCACCCACUAAGUCCCUACUGAGCUUUGUCCAUAUGGCAGAUUUGUGAGAAUUAACGAUGGUUGAUGUUUCAAGCCCCAAGUUUGGGAUGGUUUGUUACUAGGCAAUAGAUAGUUAGAAACACCCCCAAACCUACUCCUGCCAUCAUCCCUCUCUUAGAUAGUAGAACCACUAUCGACCCCAUUGCUCAGGCCAAAAACCCAGAUUCAUUUCUCUCACAUCCUACAUCUCAUUUAUCAGUAAACCCAGAUGACUUUGCUUUCAAAAUAUAUCCAGAACCCAUUCACUUCCCAUUGCUUCACUGUUCUCCAUCUAAGCCUCCAUCAUCUCCCACGGCUAUUCUAACACUCUCUAAAUAGCCCCCCUGUGGUCCCUCUAAGGCCUAGUCUCCAACAGCCUUUAACAGUCUCAGAGAGUCUCUUCUGACUAAUUCACUCAGAAUAAGAGCCAAUCUCUUCUCAGCGGUCUAUAAGACCCCAUAUGCUGCCCUCACCCUUUGCUGACUCAUUAAUGCAUGGUCCCCCAGCCCCUCCAGCUGUGUCCCCAAAUGCCCAGCACAGUUUCAUCUUAGGUCUUUGCCCUUACUUAUGGUCAGGUUUAAUCUGAUUGGUAGUGAAAUGAAAUAGAGAGGCCAGGCAAAAGUUGGUCAAAACAGGUUUUUAACGGACGCACUCUGGGCAAGGUUCCGCAGCCCCGCAAGGGAGUGAAGCCUGCAAGUCUGCUUCGUGAGGACAAGAACUUUGCUUUGUUCAUUGCUGCAUUCCCAGGAACUACAACAGAACUGGAACCUGGAUGAAUCAAUGAAUGAAGAAAUCGAAUGAAUGAAUGAUUUUGAAACCAGCACCAAAGGAAACUGUCAACACAGAGGCAAUGAAGCAGAAGAGCCCCGCCUUUGUUUCAGCUAACUUGUUUCCCUUAGAUUUUUUUAAAUAGAUAAUACAACACAAUUUAACUUCCUUAAAAGAAAAUCCACCAACAAGCUAACAACAACGCAAAUAUGAAGGGAUCUUCCUUACUGCUGGACACACUCAAUAUUGAGUAAAAUAUUCAGAAAAUACCCUACAUCUUCCACCUCUAGGCUUCCUGACAUUCUUUAAAGAUGUUAGAUCUAAACAAUAAGCAACCAAGUUAACUAUUUCACUGAACUGAACUUUUAUAAAUAUAGACUUCAUAAAAGUUGCCUUCAUAUUAAAGUCACCUGGUCUUUCUGCUGCUCUAGAAACCACUUCCUUUGUUAU